rnacentral:rRNA from 1 species
CUGAAGGAGCAAUGCGCGUGAGGGGAAGAACGCUUCGGGUUGUAAAGCUCUUUUGUUAGGGAAAGAACAUGUACGGAACUAACUGAACGGUACCUUGACGGUUCCUAACCAGAAAGCCACGGCUAACUACGUGCCAGCAGCCGCGGAAAU